rnacentral:miRNA from 1 species
UCAGCCUGAUGGUCAGCAGGGGCCGGACUGCAGUCCUGGCCAGACCAAGGGGCCAGCUGACCUGGGCCUCCCAGUGUCGCCAGAUGC